rnacentral:ncRNA from 1 species
AGUGUGGCUCGUGCAGCUGGUUCCACCGGUCAGCCAGAGCGGUGGAGGCAACAGGGAACCCGGUGUGAGUCCGGGACUGCCCCGCAGCGGUGAACGGGAACGACCGCCGUCAAGAAGCACUGGGCCCUCCACGCGAGAGGACCUGGGAAGCGACGGCCAGUAGAUGGAGCGCCAACCCGCCAGGUGGCCUCCGUGCCCGUGAGUCCGAAGACCUGCCAGCGCACCGCACGUCCU